GCCUAUGGCCAUACCACCCUAAAUGUGUCUGUUCUUGGAAGCUAAGCAGGGCCGUGCCAGAUUAGUCUUUGGAUGGGCGCCACCUAGGAAUACGAGGUGCAGUAGACU
ensembl:rRNA 5S_rRNA 5S ribosomal RNA